GAAUUCUGAUAGUGUCGGAUUGUUCACCCGCCAAAUAGGGAACGUGAGCUGGGUUUAGACCGUCGUGAGAAGGUUAGUUUUACCCUACUGAUGACUUGAAGUCUCGAUAGUAAUCCUGCUCAGUACGAGAGGAACCGCACUCGGACAUUUGGUACACGUUCUCGUUCGAUCGAACGGUGGAGCGAAGACCAUCCUGGGAUUAUGCCUGAACGCUCUAAGGAGAAGCCGCCUAGACAUGGAGACUUUACUGUUGGGCCUCCUUUUUGUGUGGGGAAGGAUAGGCUUGCCGUCCAUCCCGGACUGAGGAACCUGGGCAAGUGCUUGAAGUGUGCUUGCCUUUCCUGGACAUCCAUUUAGCAGAGUGGAGGCCCCAAAUCGUCUGUAGACGACUUAUGUACCGGCCGAGGUGUCGUACUUGGUAGAGCAGCUACCACACUGCGAUCUAUUGAGACUCAGCCUUUUGACUGGAUGAUUUG
rnacentral:rRNA from 1 species